rnacentral:rRNA from 1 species
UACGGAGGGGGCUAGCGUUGUUCGGAAUUACUGGGCGUAAAGCGCGCGUAGGCGGCUUUGUAAGUUAGAGGUGAAAGCCCGGAGCUCAACUCCGGAACUGCCUUUAAGACUGCAUCGCUAGAAUUGUGGAGAGGUGAGUGGAAUUCCGAGUGUAGAGGUGAAAUUCGUAGAUAUUCGGAAGAACACCAGUGGCGAAAGCGGCUCUCUGGUCUGUAACUGACGCUGAGGCGCGAAAGCGUGGGGAGCAAGCAGG